AUGGGGAGUUCCCGGAGCAAGCCGGUGCGGGAGCAGCAGCCGUCGGCACCGCCAAAGCCGAAGCAGAUGCCGGAGCCGGAGCCGAAGCCGACGCCGACGCCGAAGAAGAAGCAUGACCCGAAGGUGGAGGUGCCGCCUCUCAUCGACCCCCCGCCCAACGCCGCCUGCACCAGGAUGCUCGUGCCAGGGUACGAGCUGUGGUUCGGGAAGCCCUCGCUGCGCACCCUGUUCGACGACUACUUCAAUCAAGCUGGGAGCGUAAACGCAGGGGUCAUGCUCAAGAUGGUGGAGGAUCCUCAUGUCAAUCUGACCGCAGCUGUAUCCAGCAACAGUCGUUCAUGA
rnacentral:rRNA from 1 species